AACGAACGCUGGCGGCAGGCCUAAAACAUGCAAGUCGAACGGGUGUAGCAAUACAUCAGUGGCGCACGGGUGAGUAACGCGUGGGAACGUGCCCUUCAGUACGGGACAACGUCGGGAAACUGACGCUAAUACCGUAUAAUAUCUCCGGAUCAAAGAUUUAUCGCUGAAGGAGCGGCCCGCGUCUGAUUAGCUAGUUGGUGGGGUAAUGGCCUACCAAGGCUACGAUCAGUAGCUGGUCUGAGAGGAUGAUCAGCCACACUGGGACUGAGACACGGCCCAGACUCCUACGGGAGGCAGCAGUUAGGAAUAUUGGACAAUGGGCGAAAGCCUGAUCCAGCCAUGCCGCGUGUGUGAUGAAGGCCCUAGGGUUGUAAAGCACUUUCGUUGGGGAUGAUAAUGACCGUACCCAAAGAAGAAGCCACGGCUAAAUUCGUGCCAGCCGCCGCGGUAA
rnacentral:rRNA from 1 species